CCAAUAGCGUAUAUUAAAGUUGUUGCAGUUAAAAAGCUCGUAGUUGAAUUUUAGGCCUGGCCGGGCGGUCCGUCUUUGGCGAGUACUGUCCUGUGUCGGGUCUUCCUUCUGGUGAACCAGCAUGUCCUUUAUUGGGUGUGCCGGGGAGCCAGGACCAUUACCUUGAAAAAAUUAGAGUGUUUAAAGCGGGCAUUUGCUUGAAUCGAUUAGCAUGGAAUAAUAGAAUAGGACGUUGUGGUUCUAUUUUGUUGGUUUCUAGGACCACCGUAAUGAUUAAUAGGGAUAGUUGGGGGCAUUAGUAUUCAAUUGUCAGAGGUGAAAUUCUUGGAUUUAUUGAAGACUAACUAUUGCGAAAGCAUUUGCCAAGGAUGUUUUCAUUAAUCAAGAACGAAAGUUAGGGGAUCGAAGACGAUCAGAUACCGUCGUAGUCUUAACCAUAAACUAUGCCGACUAGGAAUCGGGCGACGUUAUUUUCAUGACUCGCUCGGCGCCUUAUG
rnacentral:rRNA from 1 species